GGAGGGUUCGCCUAAUGGUAGGGCACCGCUCUUGAAAAGCGGCGGGCGCAAGCCCUUAGAGGUUCGACUCCUCUACCCUCCGCCA
rnacentral:tRNA from 1 species